AAUGUUCAAGCGACUGUGCUUCUUAACACUCCUUAAUCAAAUUGGUUUCUUUCUAAACGCUUUAGAUUAAAUUGUAUAUAUAUUUUUAAAAACAGAAGUUGCUCUAUUUUGAAAUUCCAGAAGUUAAAGCUUGGGCUCAAUUUAAUACCAAAUAUUCUGAAACCAUCGAAACGUUCCUGGAAAAACUGUAUUUUAAAACUUUGAUCUUUCGGUUCAGUAAAGGAAAAGGAAGAUCAGAAAAGAUCCAGUCGACCUCCAAGCUUCCCGGAGUCCCCAAGGCAGUGCAAUUUAGUCUACAGAAAGGAAAUCAUAGAGUGAAAGUAAACGGUUGGGAGUAAAUCUUACAGAUGUCAAAAGUUAGAGAGACACAGAGAUAAGACGUCUUGUUUGAAAAGAAUAAACAGAACGGUUUAGACGAAUUGGAAGAUCGUCCAUUAGGCGAAGGUGGACUGGAUGGAAGCAUUAAGAUUAGCAUAUGAAAGAAGCUAGAUUGCUUAGGAAGGUUGGGAAUCCUUUACCACAGCCUCUGGGCAACAGCAGGAACAGUAC
rnacentral:lncRNA from 1 species